AAAAAGAUAAGCUAAUAAAAGCUACUGGGUUCAUACCCCAAUCAUGGGGGCUAUUCCCCCUCUUUUUG
rnacentral:tRNA from 1 species